AACGAACGCUGGCGGCAUGCCUAACACAUGCAAGUCGAACGAGACCUUCGGGUCUAGUGGCGCACGGGUGCGUAACGCGUGGGAAUCUGCCCUUGGGUUCGGAAUAACAGCGAGAAAUUGCUGCUAAUACCGGAUGAUGACGUAAGUCCAAAGAUUUAUCGCCCAAGGAUGAGCCCGCGUAGGAUUAGCUAGUUGGUGAGGUAAAGGCUCACCAAGGCGACGAUCCUUAGCUGGUCUGAGAGGAUGAUCAGUCACACUGGGACUGAGACACGGCCCAGACUCCUACGGGAGGCAGCAGUGGGGAAUAUUGGACAAUGGGCGAAAGCCUGAUCCAGCAAUGCCGCGUGAGUGAUGAAGGCCUUAGGGUUGUAAAGCUCUUUUACCCGGGAUGAUAAUGACAGUACCGGGAGAAUAAGCCCCGGCUAACUCCGUGCCAGCAGCC
rnacentral:rRNA from 1 species